rnacentral:rRNA from 1 species
CCUACGGGGGGCAGCAGUGAGGAAUAUUGGUCAAUGGACGAGAGUCUGAACCAGCCAAGUAGCGUGAAGGAUGACUGCCCUCUGGGUUGUAAACUUCUUUUAUAUGGGAAUAAAAUGUUCCACGUGUGGGAUUUUGUAUGUACCAUAUGAAUAAGGAUCGGCUAACUCCAUGCCAGCAGCCGCGGUAAUGCGGAGGAUCCGAGCGUUAUCCGGAUUUAUUGGGUUUAAAGGGAGCGUAGGUGGAUUGUUAAGUCAGUUGUGAAAGUUUGCGGCUCAACCGUAAAAUUGCAGUUGAAACUGGCAGUCUUGAGUACAGUAGAGGUGGGCGGAAUUCGUGGUGUAGCGGUGAAAUGCUUAGAUAUCACGAAGAACUCCGAUUGCGAAGGCAGUUCACUGGACUGCAACUGACACUGAGGCUCGAAAGUGUGGGUAUCAAACAGGAUUAGAUACCCCAGUAGUC